AAGCUUAAGUGCUCCAUAUUCAGACACAUACAAAGGCCUCCCAUAGAUUUUCUGGUAUUCUGAAGAAAGACAGAUUAGAGGCAUACACCCACCUGAUAAUUCAAGCAACUUUACCAGUUGGCCCUUUAAACCAUUCAGAUCUCCAGGUUGUACCCACAUGAAGUCAUUCUGGUCACAUGAAGUAAGAGUUUUUGCUGAAACUUCAUUCAACCCAGAUGGGAGGCCGUGUGAUCUGGAAGACGAAGGAUAAUAGGGCAUGGAUAUUGAACUACUAUUAUAUUCAGUCGGAGACCUUGAGAGCAAUGAGAGAUCCCUUUUAUUGCAACAGCCUUUUGAGAUCCCUCUAUACACUAUUGCUUCUUCUUCAUUUUGACAAUCUAAGUUGUCAGUUACCUCGCAUCCCGUUAAAAACCCAGGAAUAUUUGUCGGAACUACAUAAGAAGGAAGUAAAACCUUAGCAGACGGCACAAAUCCUUCCCCACGAGCCACACUUGGCCAGUCCCAGACAAACUGGCCUGCAUUACUCAGAGCAGAUGAAACACUCGCCCUAUAAGGAAUGACAAGGAUGAUAGUAUAUCCACGCUGGCCUAAAACAUGGAGAGCAGGAGCAAAAUCAACAUCCCCAGAGAUGAGCAAGAUAGAUGAGGGUGGACAAUUGUCAAGAGCAAAAAGGAACAUGUCAAUCAAAAUUGCCUUGUCAGCUGCAUCUUUCCUUCCAUUAGGAACGUCUAUGAGUUUGACGCCUGUUCUCUGACACCCUUCCCGUAGUCGUCUGGGAAAUGCAUUGAAAUCCCCAUAUGCAGAGAAUGUUGUGACAACUCCAUCAAUUACAGGAUGGACACGCAAAGCCAUCCUAAUAUUACCAGCUACAUCUUGUGGGCGGACAUCACUUGGCACUGGACAGUUCUCAAUGUCCCAGAAUAUAGCCACAGGGCCUUGUGAUGAGCUUUGCACUUGAUGUAAAUAAGGUUGAGGCAAGUCAGUAUUUGCAUUUGCCAUGUGUUUCUCUUUUGAGGAUUCUGGUGGCAACAUCAAAGUAGAUAUAUUUGAACUUGACAUCAAUGUUCUAUAGCAGUUCAAGCAACGUCUUUAGGCUUCCUGACAUCAAAGAAUGGUUGUGAAAAUCCCGCCGAGAGAAAACUUUCAAGUACUUGCACUCGAAACUUGAACUAAUGCCCUAUUUGGGCUUUAUUUUUCUAAAAAUACAUAUUUUUCAAAAUUCAUUUCCAACCAAACAUUCUCCCAUAAAAUAAUUUUACACUAAAAUCCAAAAUUUUUCCUUAUUUUUUUACCAUACAUUCUCCAACAAAUACACUUGAAAACACAUUUUUCUCAAAAAAACUCAUUUUAAUGGAACCCAAACAGGGGCAACAAUUGAUGGCAAAACAACUUUCAUCCAAGGAGAACAGGAGACUGGAACUGAGCCCAGAGUAUUUAAACAAGAAAAAUUAAUAACAAGUAUAGAGCUAAAUUUAUACUAUAUAAAUGAAGAAUUUAAAAGAAAUUAAUCAAUGUGUUGGUGACAUGUCGUGUCGGUACUUUUUGAAAAAUCGUGUGCCGGACACACGUGUCCGUGUCAGUGUACUAUAUCAUAGGGUAAUGCAUCAGCAUGAGUGAAGAAUAAAUGUUAGUAGUUUCCACUAGAAGUCUUCUCUGAAAAAAAAUGGCUUCAGUUAGUGUUAUAGUUUACAUUACGAAUCAGUUUACACACACACUUCCAUAUCCUGCUCCUAGAUAUUAUUAUUGCAGAAGGUAAGAUUAAAUGAUAAAAUAGUAGUUCAACAAGAUAUCAAGCAACAGUCAUGAAUUCAAGUUUCACAGGAACACAUUUAAUGAAAUAUUGUAUGUCUCGGGCUUUAAUGCAAAAAAAUAUAAAAUAAAAAAUUUUAAACCCAGCUGCUCGUGAGAGGCAUGUGGACAUUUGCCCUCUCUAAAACCUUUAAUUUCAAGUAACUCAAUAUUUUCCACGCCAGAAGGUCAGUAACGCUAAUUUAAUAAAAUAUCGCCAUUAAGUUCUUUCUGCUCAAGAAAGCAAAAAAAGUAGCAGAUAACUUAAAACAAUUAUUUUUCUUAUAUUUAUUGGCAUCGGGUGAUGUUACAUGAUGGUAAAAUAUCAUUACAGAACAACAUCAUCUUGAAUAAGAUACAUCAUUACCAAGAAAAUCAUAACAGAAAACUGAGGAAAAGAAUGAAUAUUCAAGAAAGCUAUAUAAAGUUAACCCAGACCGUGGCCGUAGACCUAAAAAUGAUUACUCGCUGUAAUAAAAUGACUAAUAAAAAAAUUCAAUAAAUUCAUUCUUUUAGAGAUUCGUAAUUCUUGCAUGAAUACUUCGAACUAGGGUUUCUGAAUAUGUACCUAAGUAUAUAGGUAACAGAGGGAGGAGGGUGACUUGCCUGAAACGGAAAGAACUAUGUUCGAGUUGUGAAGAUCGGUGACGAUGAUUCUUUCGCAAAAAGGGAAAAGGGAAUAAAUUUUUAACGGGUAGUCGGCGAUUUUGGUCUUAUUCAAUAUCAGAUAAAAAACAGUAUGAAAAUUAAUUUGGGAUUUUUGUAUUUGGGCGGCGAUGACCAAAACGGAGCGGCGGAGAGUUUAAUUGGAAUUAAGAAUUGGACCGAAGAAUCAAAAAAUACUCCCGUGCGAACUGAACCGAUUUGAAGAAUGAUGCAACAAUUGUUUAUUUUCUUCUCCUGGAGAGGUUUGGUCUCUGUUAAGGUAAAAUCACAACAAUUGUGCUUGUUUUGUUGUUUGGGAUUGGAAUUAAGAUAAAAUGCCUUCUAUUUUAAAAGUAAUUCUUAAAAUUAUAUUUUAGAAGACUUGCUUAAUUAACAUUUUAAUUUGAAUAAUGUUAUUUGUAGUUGUUCACUGUCAUAGUCGUCUUAUAUGGUAUAUAUGUAGCGUUUAAUGAUUUGAUACAUUAAUGUGGUAGUCUUUUAUUACCUUAUACAAUAAAUCAUUAAUCGUCACAUAUAUGCAACGUAGAGCGAUUACGGUAGUGAGCGACUGUAAAUACUAACAUUCUUUUAAUUUAGAUGUAUUUUCUAUAAUUAUAUACAUUCAAAGUGUUUUAAAUUUCUAUGCAAGAAAAUAAUAAAAUGAUUUAGAAAAAACUAGUUAACAUAAAUUAUAGAGAAAAAUAAUAAAUAUUUUUUGGGAUUAGUAAAAUUAAGUGUUAAAUAUAAAGAGCUUGUUAAAGUAUUUAAAAUUCCAAUUUGUUCAAUGCAACAUGAAGAUCCGAUGAAUCCUUUUGGUAUACUUCUCCCUUGGCUCAUAAAAGGUAAAACCGUACUCUACUAGGAUUGCAUAGUUCUUAUGAUGAAAACUUCUUUAGGUCAACGCAAAAUAAUGUUCUAACCACCUAAAUUCUUCUUCCCUUUAUUUUUUUUCUUGAAAUAGCGUCGUUCUAUUCUCGUAUGGCUGCAUAUCCACCUUAAACAUCGUGAUUUCUGUUACAUUUAUCAUGUGACCCAACACUCAGUGUCAUAGAAUACAAUACCGUUGUGCUGAACUUGUCCUUUUAACUUGAUUGGUAGAAUGGUAAAAAGAUAGAUCUUUUUGGUCCAUUUCUCACAGGCAAUUUGCAUACCAUUGAUUUAGUUUAAUUAAUUUUAAGUUACAGAAUCAAAUAUGAUCAAUGAACUGAAAUGUCCCUGUUUUGACACGAACUGUGGAAAUGAGUCCCUGUUUUGACACGAACUGUGGAAAUGAGUCCCUGUUUUGACACGAACUGUGGAAAUGAGUCCCUGUUUUGACACGAACUGUGGAAAUGAGUCCCUGUUUUGACACGAACUGUGGAAAUGAGUCCCUGUUUUGACACGAACUGUGGAAAUGAGUCCCUGUUUUGACACGAACUGUGGAAAAGGACUCAUUGUAUAAUAACGCUCUUCUAGGUUGCUGAUUUUGGCCUUGCUCGUGCUUCGAAAGAUGGCUCUGUUUGCUUCGAACCUGUAAACACUGAUAUUCGGGGAACUCAUGGUUAGACAAAAUCCUCUCUUAUUAUAAACUCCUACUCUAUAUAGCUUAUCCGGAGAUACCAAAACAUUAAUGGUUUGUUUGGUAAAAUGGAUUGUCUAGUACCCGACGACAUUACAUGUUUGACUAAGCGUAAAACGUUCAAUUAUAAGUAAAUAAGUUAGUUUUAAAAAUAAAUAAGUUUUUGUUGAUCGAAGUUGAAAUAAUAAGUUACUUAUUUUGAUUCUAAAAUAGCUUAGCUAGACAUGUCAGAAAAAGAUGUUUUUGUGUAUUGUAAUAUCAAGUUGUCCAAUAUUGCAUACCAAAUGUGCUCCCAAACGGUUAUCAGGUCGGACAAAAUCUUCUUUCUCAAUAGACUUACCAUAUCAGAGAUAUCAAAGCAUUAAAUGAUUGUCAGGUUAUAAUGAUCCGGAGUAUGUGGUUACUCGAAAGCUCACAAAGAAAAGUGAGGUAUACAGUUAUGGAAUUGUGUUGUUAGAGCUAGUUACUGAAAGACGAGCAAUACAAAACAACAAAAACUUGGUUGAGUGGUCUCAACCAUUUUUGACUUUGGAGUCGAGAAUAACUGAGCUUGUGGAUCCCAAUCUCGGGGAUGCUUUUGAAUUCGAUCAACUUCAAACAAUUGUGGAAAUCGUGACUCAGAAAGAAGGCAAGGCAAGACCAUCAAUUAAGAAAGUCCUCAGAUUUUUGUAUGAGAGUCCUGAAGUAAUGCACGGUGCUUUUGUUGAAGCUGUGGAAGAUGAAGAAUAUGGAGAAACUGGAGGUAGAGGAAGUACGAGCAGAGGUGAUUAUCUUCUGUGUAGUGGGAGACUAAUUCAGCAACAGGCAAGGGAACAAUAAUCUUCUGUGUAGCAGAUGAUUGCUAAGGACUAAUACAAAUUGAAGAAUUGCAAAUGUGAUAAUGUAUUAUAUUUUACCUUUUCAAGUGAAACGCCUUCGAUGUUUGGAAUAAAACAUGAGAUUAAUCUUCAACAGAUGAGAAAGCCAAAUAACCUGAAGAGAGGAAUUCAGUGGUAACUAGAAAAGGCAAAUGUGUCUGCCAUUGAUUUGAGGAAUCAAAAUUUUCUGUUUUACACAUCAAAUGUUCUUUGGCACUUAGAAUUGAGUUGUUAAAUGAUUGCACGACCAUUUUUUACUUUCCUUUUUUUCCUUUUCUUUAAAGAAUCUGUUAAUGUCAAAUUCAAUGGUGAUUGUAAAAUUAUAAGGAGACAGCAAUGUGUCUGGCAGUAGAGCAGAACUGAUAUGUUCAUAUACUUAAAAGUCGUAUAUUUCGAGUAAGCUGAGAGAUUGUUUAUUAAUUUUGCAUUCUUAAAGCAUCUGUAUUAACAUAAACAUGAUGCGUCCUGCCAAAUUAUAGCUCAACUAGGACCAAAUUUAAUGAUAUGUAUCACAGCGUUUCCAAUGGUUAUCAAUCGAAGAAUAUAAAAUCUCAAGCUUUUCUCGGCUGUUUGUUCAUGGAUAACACCAUAGCUUAUUUGGUAAGUGAAUAGUACUGAACGCUAUAAAAGAAGAAGAAAAAAGUUAUAAUCUAGGUUAUGCCUUUGCGCAAAGUAUAUGAAAUGAAGGAUGAGCUCACGACAUAUUCACUGCUCUAGAAGUCAUUGUCCACAUCGGCAGUGAUCGACCAACCUCCCUCUGCAAUGACAUGUGAAAACGUGUAUCGUAGUUUUGCGGCUGAGGAGAAAGGGAUUUCUUUUCUUCGACUGGAAAUGAAAGCGCCCUCUUAUUCAUAACCACCUUGUUUGCUCCUUGGAUCACCAUUGUAGGAGUUGGAUAUUAUAGAAAAUUUGCUAGUCAAACAGUGCAUGGUGAUAGAAGAAUCUGAGUGUAGGAUAAUCUGUUCAUCCACAGUAGAUACAGGUCGAACGUGCUCUAGGCCUCAAACCAGAAGCAAACUCUGAUGCUCAAUACACUAAUACCUGAAUUGCAUCAAUACAUUCCAUGGAUUAUAAAACAUUAAUGUGCUGGUGGUUCUCAAAAAAUGUAUGGCUACCUUCACCUUUCUCCAGUUUCAAAACUGUGCUGUGUCACGUAUAUCCCAAGGAUUCCAAACACAGAAAUUGCAGAAAGUAAAUGGAAUUGGGAAAUGAUCAUAGAUGAAGAAUCAAGUUCUUAUGGCUACUGGGGAUGCUUUCGGCCAAAGCCCAGGUUUGAAUACCUUAUAAAGUACGCAGCACCUGGACAGCAGUGACUUGCACAUUUGCAAGGUAGCACGGCAAAUAUCAACCAGUAGCAACUCCCCUAUGCAAAUCCUUGGCAACCAUGAAAAAGAAUUUCAAUAAACUACCACCUCAAGGAGGAUAAACUAAAUAAGAUGGAAAAAUUAGUUAGUUACUAUGGUAAUUAACAAUUUUCUUGAAAGUGACUUCAGUUUGUUCCUCAACGAGCAUUCCCUCAUCACCGUCCAUAAAUAAAUAAAUAAAUAAAUAAUAACAACAAUGAUGAUGAUGAUCCCUUCCAUAAUUGACGUGCAAUGUUUUUAUGUCCAACACAAGAAUCACAUGGUUAUGGAAGAAGCAUUAUUGGAGCCCCGUUUAUGGGGAGAUCAAACAAACAGUAGUGAAAAGAUUUCUUCACAUCGUGCAGAAUUACAGGUUAGAAGCAGAUUUCAGAACAAUAAUACAGUAAAGGACUAAUAAGCACUAGAACAAAGCUGCGUAAGAUUUAUAAGAUUGCUUUGAUUGCAAGAAGAAGCGUGAUGAUGAAACAAUUUUUUCUUCUCACUUGGUUCAGCAUAAAUACGGUGUAAACAACAAUUAUAAAAGAAUAGAUUGAUGAUGUUAUGUUAAGACAGAUUUUUGGUUGAUCAGAUUCAGCCACUAUGAAAUGAGUGUUACAUGAACAAUCUUGAGAUUAACCAACGAGCCUAAGUUAGACAAAAUAAAGAACAGAAACGUCCUUCACAUUGACGCAUCCUAUUUAUGAACUAAAAGGGAACAAAUUAAGAAUGAGGCAGCAAGCAGCAUACCUCGUAACAUCUUCACCAACACAAUAUAAUUCCAAAAGCGGAAAGUAAACUCUUCUAGCCACAGACAGCGACCAGAAACUUCCUUUUACUUACUGGUUCCUCUUGCAACACAACAAUGUCUCUUACUUUGUCCAAAAGCUCCUCCAAAUCAUUCACGCCAAAGCUUUGAUAAUUGAUUGGUCUUUUGUAUUUCUGCUGGUAGAUCACCUCGAAACAACCAAGAGAAAUGCGACAAUAGUAGCUUACCAAAAUCUCUUGAAGCUCAUGUUUGAAGAGGUUGAGGCUCUCUAAAUUAUAUUUCUCUAUUUCUCUUUUGUCAUCAUGUUCCCCUAUAACCACCCUCUCAUCAUCUGAGGGUUCAUCAGAAGAUUCAGCACCUGCAACAACAUCAAUGGGAUCUUGAGCUUCUUUUCCUUUCUUAUCCCUCUUCGCCAAAAUUAAGGGAUGGGCACCAGAUAUGGCUUUAGAGUUAUGGAGGUAGACAAGCUUCCUUGAGCCUCUUAUUUCAAUAGCCAUUGCAUCACCCAUCUUCUCCAGAAGAUCUACAAGCUUAAGUGCUCCAUAUUCAGACACAUACAAAGGCCUCCCAUAGAUUUUCUGGUAUUCUGAAGAAAGACAGAUUAGAGGCAUACACCCACCUGAUAAUUCAAGCAACUUUACCAGUUGGCCCUUUAAACCAUUCAGAUCUCCAGGUUGUACCCACAUGAAGUCAUUCUGGUCACAUGAAGUAAGAGUUUUUGCUGAAACUUCAUUCAACCCAGAUGGGAGGCCGUGUGAUCUGGAAGACGAAGGAUAAUAGGGCAUGGAUAUUGAACUACUAUUAUAUUCAGUCGGAG
rnacentral:lncRNA from 1 species